rnacentral:rRNA from 1 species
CCUGUAGUCCUGGCCGUAAACGAUGAACACUAGGUGUCGGGGGAAUCGACCCCUUCGGUGUCGUAGCUAACGCGUUAAGUGUUCCGCCUGGGGAGUACGCACGCAAGUGUGAAACUCAAAGGAAUUGACGGGGGCCCGCACAAGCGUGAGUAUGUGGUUAUUCGAUGCAACGCGAGGAACUACCAGGGUUGACAUCUUGCGACUCUAGAAUUUGAGUUGCUUCGGGAUGCAGUGACAGUUGGUGCAUGCUGUCGUCAGCUCGUGUCGUGGGAUGUUGGGUUAAGUCCCGCAACGAGCGCAACCCACGUUUUUAGUUGCCAGCAUUUAGUUGGGCACUCUAGAAAGACCGCCGGUGAUAAACCGGAGGAAGGUGUGGAUGACGUCAAGUCAUCAUGCCCCUUACACCCUGGGCUACACACGUACUACAAUGCUACGGACAAAGGGCAGCAAACUCGCGAGAGCUAGCAAAUCCCAUAAACCGUGGCUCAGUUCAGAUCGUAGGCUGCAACUCGCCUACGUGAAGUAGGAAUCGCUAGUAAUCGCAGGUCAGCAUACUGCGGUGAAUACGUUCCCGGGCCUUGUACACACCGCCCGUCACACCAUGGAAGUUGGCCAUGCCCGAAGUCGUUACUCCAACCCUUGUGGAGGAGGACGCCGAAGGUGGGGCUAAUGACUGGGGUGAAGUCGUAACAAGGUAACC